rnacentral:rRNA from 1 species
AACCCUGUCUUAUACAAUUAUCCUUAAAUAAAACCAUUUCAUUUCUAAACCCGUGAACCCUCUACACCCCUUUCUUACCCGCAAGGAUUAGAUUUACCUUUAUUCUCACUAUCUUUUAAUUAGAGUACCUUUUGCAUCAUGGUUUAGCGAGAAUCUGUGUUAAACCCUAACCCCGAAAGGAACGUGAGCUACUUUAAUUCUGCUGAGAACUUAUUAACCUAAUGUUGCAUCAUUACUUAUAGAAAUCAAAGUAGAAGCUACAUACUUACCGCACUUCCUUAUAGCUGGUUCUCUUCGCCCGGAAUCGAAGUCCCUCUUCCAUUUUUAAAUGGACAACUAUAAUUUUUAGGAUAAGCUAAAAAUUCUAAUCAAUUCUUUAAUCAAGGGUAUUAACUUAUCUACAGGCUUAGAAUCAGCCACAUAGUAUCAUCGCGUUUUAGCCUCAUACUUAUUUUCCCAAAAAUCCUAUAAAGAAUGUUAUAUAUUUGAAGAGCAUUUAAUCCUAACUCAUUUGUUUCUUGAUAAUGCUAAAAUUAGUAUUUCCAUUAUAUUCCACUUGACCAUAAAAUUUAUCACAACCUUAUAAUCCCCAAUAUAUAGUAAAAACGAACUUUGCAAUACAGAAGUCCGCCUGUUUACCAAAAACAUCGUCUUUAGUUGCCUCAUUAAAGAUACAUCCUGCCCAGUGACUUUAUAGUUUAACGGCCGCGGUAUCCUGACCGUGCAAAGGUAGCAUAAUCAUUUGCCUUUUAAUUGAAGGCUAGAAUGAAUGGACAAACGAGAUUUCAGCUGUUUCUUUACUACCCCUAUAACUUAAACUUCAGGUGAAGAUGCCUGAAUUUAAUUGAAAGACAAGAAGACCCUAUAGAGUUUUAAUUCUAUUAUACCCCCUUUAUAUAUUUGAAUUUUGGUUGGGGCGACCAAGGAUACCCCUCAUCAUCCUUUAAAAAUUUGACCAUCAAGUCCUAUUAAUGACCCUUACAGGAUCCACAGAAUCAACUACCUUAGGGAUAACAGGCUUAUCGUCCUAGAGAGCUCCUAUCGAUAGGACGGUUUGGCACCUCGAUGUUGGCUUAGAGUAACUCCUUACCGCAGCAGGUAUACAGAGUUAGUUUGUUCAACUAUUAAUCCUCUACAUGAGCUGAGUUCAGACCGGCGUGAGCCAGGUUAGUUUCUAUCUUCUAUUACUUUUAAUAAGCCUAUUAGUACGAAAGGACCAUAAGGCCUUCGAAAUUAUCGUAUUGACCGUAUUCAACUAAUCUAUUUUAAUUACCAUUUUAUUU